GAUGAACGCUAGCGGCGUGCCUAAUACAUGCAAGUCGAGCGAACAGACGCUGCUCUUGCUCCUCUGUCGUUAGCCGAAGACGGGUGAGUCACACGUGGAUCACCUACCUAUCUGUCUGGUAUCACUUCGGGAAACCGGAGCUUAUCCCAGAUGAUAUAUUGCACCGCAUGGUUCAAUAGUAAAUUACGGCUUUGCUGUCACUUAUAGCUGGUUACGCGCCGCAUUAUCUAGUUGGUACGGUAACGGCUUACCACGGCAACGCUGCGUAACCGACAUGAGAGGGUGGUCAGCCACACUGGAACUGUGACAGGGUCCAUACUCCCACGGGAGGCAGCAGUAGGGAAUCGGCCGGAAUGGGCGAAAGCCUGACGGAGCAGCGCCGCGUGAGGAAUGAGGGUCUUCGGAUCGUAGAACUCUGUUAUUAGGGAAGAACAAGUGUUUAAGUAACUAUGCACGUCUGUACGGUAACUGAUCAGAAAGCCACGGCUAACUACGUG
rnacentral:rRNA from 1 species